UAGGAGAAAAUGGAGUGGUAUGUGCAGCAAUGAUUCAAUGAAGUGGUUCUGAAAUGAUUCAAAGGUGAAAGUGAAGUAAUGAUGCACGGCAUGGGAGGUAAAUGGAGUGGUGUGUGCAGCAAUGAUUCAAUGGAGUGGUGCUGAAAUGAUUCAUUGAAGGGGACAUGGAAUGGUGCAGCAAUGAGUGCAUGGAGUGGAGGUUAAAGUGAUGAAAUGGUGCAUGAAAUCUGAAAUGAUGGAGGGGACAAUGAAUGGUGCAGCAAUGAGUGCAUGGAGUGGAGGUUAAAGUGAUGAAAUGGUGCAUGAAAUCUGAUAUGAUGGAGGGGACAAGGAAUGGUGCAGCAAUGAGUGCAUGGAGUGGAGGUUAAAGUGAUGAAAUGGUGCAUGAAAUCUGAAAUGAUGGAGGGGACAAUGAAUGUGCACGGCAUGGGUGGAUUUCUGCACUCUUUGCCUUGUGUUCUAGCUCACUUCCACAUGUCCUAGCCGUUAGACAACUUUCACACACAUGUUUUGCAUCAUUUCAUCUUGCAAACACCAACUUUUAGCCACUUUACACCUCUUCACACAUGCACCUGCUGUUAGAUACUUUCACACACAUGCUAUGCAUCAUUUCAGCUUGCAAUUAUGUUUGUAGUUGCUGGAAAUGUGAACACAACUUGUAAAGCAAUCCAACAAAUGGCAUAUUUCACUUCUUUUCCUUUCAAAUUGUUCCUUAAGAGUAUGUAUCUGCACACUUCCACACUUCAACUUCAUUAUUCAGAUUUUUGCAUAUGUUGAAACCCUUUUUAAAACACCAAAAACGUCCAUCCAACUUGCUCCAUAUGCAUGCAAUCCACUUCAACCCAAAAUUGCUCCAAAAUGCACUUUCUUGCCAACUUUGUUAUUAGGACCUACAAACACACGAAAAUAGCUUCAAAUACAAAAUUGACUAAGAAAUAACAACAUAAAUGAACAAGAACAAGCUAACUAAGUCGCAUAAAUAUGCUCCUCUCAAGUGGCUACUUUACAUGUUUACAUCAAUCUUCUCACAUAUACCUAGUAUAGGGAGUGUAGUCAGAAAAUCUGUGUGAAAAUAGAGAGUAUUCCGCUGAGGAAUUGAGGGAAUUCUCUAAGGCGUGUUACUACAUCAAAACGAUGUUUUAAAUUGAUUACAUGCGAUCUAAUGAGUGGUGACUGUGAUUAAGUAUGCGCUUGAGGGUAAGGAUAACUAAAAUAUGUCGGAGUAGUUAUUUUUAACAUGUCAUGUUUCAUUGGAAAUCCCUGAGGUGAAUGUUGGAAGGUCUAGUUUAUGUUUUGUUUGUUUCGUUUUGCUCGAGGACUAGCAAAAGCUAAGUGUGGGGGAAUUUGAUAAGAGCAUAUUUAUGCGACUUAGUUAGCUUAUUUUCUUGCAUUUAUGUUGUUAGUUCUUACUUAUUAUAGUGUGUUUGUAGGUCCAAAUGACAAAGUGGGCAAGAAAGUGCAUUUUGGAGCAUUUUGGAGCAGUUUUGAGCCAAGAAUGGAUAACAUAUGAAUGGAGCACGGUGGAUGAACGUUUUUGAAUUUCAAGAUGCUAGGAAUAUGUUGAAGAGAUGAAGAAAAUAAAUUCAAGACAAAAGAAGAUAAGGAAUCAGCUAAAAAGAAUGAACAUUAUCCAAAACCUUAUAUGACCUUAUCUUAUCCAAACUAACCUUAUCUUAUCUUAUCUUAUCCUAUCCUAUCCUAAUCCAAUCCUACCUUAAUUCUAACUGCAAGGAGGACUUAAUUUCAUAUUAGAUCACCUAAAAACAUGGUUCUAGAAGCCUUAUCACUCAUCCUAAGAAUGUGCCGCACCAGCCUUCUAGAAAUCAUAUUUCCA
rnacentral:lncRNA from 1 species